rnacentral:rRNA from 1 species
UCGAAUCCUGCUAAGCAGACGACCCGAGAACAUGUUUAUAGCACGGGCGUCGGGACGGGGGAAACCACGGACCGAUGCCCCGAGCACGGCGUCGACCACCGGUCGGUCGUCGUGCAAACAACCAACCCCGGGGGACAAGAACCGGGCCAGGAAACGUAAUAAGUUCUUUGCCUACCCGUCGUGCCGAAUUUCGUAUUUCACGGGUGUCACGACGCUAAAGAAACA